AUUCACAAGUGUGUGUUUUGUAGUGAGCAUCAGUCUAUCCUGCUCUUUGAUCUAUGCAACAUCAUAUUCAACACAGUGAAUAGAUUGCAUGUUUUAACAGUGCCCUUUGUUUAUUAUAAUUGUGUAAGUGUGCUUUUUCCAAUAGAUAGCGAAGGAAUGCGGUAACUCAAAUGUUUUUGGUGUGUUUUUUUUUUCACCAAUAAUGCCGUCCGUCAGAAGCGUGUUUGUUGUGAGAUGCAGAAGUGGCGCAGGAGGGCGUACAGUAGCUACCUGUGACGAGACGAGGCUCGCGCCGCGGGCACGCACUGCACAGCACAGCGACUAUCACAGCCGAGUUCAUUCCGCGCCUCUGCUCUUUCUCACGUUCCUUGGCUUUACAGUAACUACUAGCCGAUUUUCCUUCGAUUUUGGACGGUUUGUGACGAAAGCCAUUUCAAGUGAACCGCUUGAGGGAAGGACAGCUGUUUUACUUUUUAGUGAAGAAGAGUAAACAGCAUUUGUGCACACCAGAGGAAAGAGUCUUAAGAGACGGCCUGAGUGACUUCCUGCUCCCUUAAGAGGGGGGGUGAGCGGCGGUCUUGUGGUACUCACUCACCCCUCCUAGUAAGACUGAAAAUGAUGACCCAUAGUGCAUGGCUGCUGUUCCUGCUGUUGCUGUGUAUUGUGUCCACUCUGUGGGGUUACCCCUUCAGACCCCCGCUAGAUCUGGAUGUGACCCCCAGAACUACGGUCUUCUCCAAUGGGCUGUUGGGCUGCAGGCGCUUCAGAGGCUUGACUCUGAACUACAGUUUAUUGCUGCUGGAGGAGGAGGCAGGCGUGCUGUACGUGGGAGCUAGAGGGGCUUUAUAUGCCCUGCAGGCUAGUGACAUCUCCAGCAGCUCUCCGCAGACCAUUGACUGGGAGGCAUCAGACGAUCAGAAGCAACAAUGCUUGAACAAAGGGAAAGAUAACAAGACGGAGUGUUACAACCACAUACGAUUCCUGCAGAGGUUCAACAGCACACACUUGUACACUUGUGGUACACAUGCUUUCAGCCCUCUAUGUGCAUACAUUGAUGCGAGGGAGUUUAAAAUCUCAUCAGCCUUCGAGGAGGGUCGAGAGAAGUGUCCAUAUGACCCCACCAAAGGCUACACUGGCCUGCUAAUUGAUCAGCAGAUGUACACAGCAUCUCAGUAUGAGUUCCGGAGCUUUCCAGAUAUCCGACGCAACUCUCCGAAUCCCACAUUGAAAACAGAAGAGGCUCCAACUCAGUGGCUACAGGAAGCUGAUUUUGUGGGCUCAGCGCUGGUGAAGGAGAGUGUGAACAGCUCAGUGGGAGAUGACGAUAAGAUUUACUUCUUCUUCACCGAGAAGAGCCAAGAGCUCAGUCCAUACUUCAGUCACAGCAGAGUAGCACGGGUCGCACGUGUGUGCAAGAGAGACAGAGGAGGUCUUCUCACGCUACAGAAGAAGUGGACCUCUUUCCUGAAGGCACGUCUGGCAUGUUCUUUACCGGACUAUGAAUUUCACUUCAACGUGUUGCGGAGUGUGUUUUUUCUGGAGGGCUCCAGCUCUCAAGACUCUGUUUUCUACGGCAUCUUUGGCCUGGAAUGGAAAAACGUAAAGGCAUCUGCUAUCUGCCAGUACUCCAUUUCGGAUAUCCAAUGGGCCUUUGAGGGGCCUUACAUGGAGAGCAAAGAAGACUCCAGCUCCAAAUGGACAGAGUACACAGGGAAGGUGCCAGAACCUCGACCCGGCUCGUGCAUCACAGAUCAACUCAGAGCAAGAGGCAUCAACUCUUCCACCAACCUGCCAGAUGACGUACUUCAUUUUGUCCGUCGCCAUCCGCUCAUGUACAGGCAGAUCCUUCCUCAAGGACAACGCCCCCUGCUGUUUAGGAGAAAUGUGGACUACACUAAAAUCGCUGUACACAGAGUGACUGGUCUAGAUGGUCAGCUAUACCACAUACUCUUCAUUGGGACAGAUGAAGGCUGGCUACAGCGGGCUGUAAAGGUUAAUGGUCAGCUGCACAUCAUUGAGGAGCUGCAGCUGUUUGAGGAGCCCCAGCCAGUGGACAGUAUAGUCAUCUCUGAGAAACAGAUGAGUGUGUAUGUGGGUUCGGCCAGCUCAGUGGUGCAGUUGCCCUUGUCCACAUGCAGCAGAUAUUCCUCGUGCUUCGACUGCGUGAUGGCACGUGAUCCUUUCUGUGCCUGGGAUGGACUGGAGUGUGUGGACAUUACAUCACACAACAGCAGAGCUAAUCUGACACAGGAUAUUCUGAAUGGAAACAAGGGCUGUGAGGAAUCCACAGCAGAUGAUCAAGUGUUACACCGCUCUCGCUCUGUGAUGGCGGGCGAUGACGUGCUGCUUCAGUGUGAGCUCAGCUCCAAUCUGGCAACCCCCGAGUGGACGCUGGAUGGAAAGAAACUGCAGGGUUACGGACUGGACUCUGGCUACCGCGUCGGCACUGAUGGUCUCCUAGUCAUCGAAGCACGGUCUUACCAAAGUGGCCACUACUGCUGCUUCGCCCUGGAAAAUGGUGUCCAUGUUCCUGUGGUGAUCUACAGCUUGACAGUUCGCCAGGGGCUUCCUGCACUUCCUCCUGUGGAGCCAACGCAGCCGCACUUGACCACAGCAAUCUACUGGACCUCUCAGACUUCCCAAAGUGACUCCCCAGAGGACUUCCAUCCAACCCCAAUGUCUCCUCGCUUCGAGUUCCUGUCCGUGAGGAACAUGGAAGCCAUGUACCUAUCCCUAAUCACAAUCCUAGGAGGCCUUUGUUUUGUUCUAACAGUCGUCCUUCUUUACGUGGGAUUCUGUUUGCAAGGGCGAAGAGGUAAAUACUCUUUGCGGGCCGCUGCUCAUGUCGAAAGGAAGCGAGGUGCCCACAUGGAGCUCAAGACCAUCUCCAGCCACUGCAACGGGAAAGCCGACGCUCAUGACGGCUUGCUGCAGAUCGUUCCCGGAGAAGCAGCAACGUCACCCAACAAAGAGCUUCCUCCCGCUCCACCUCUCCCACCGCCUCCAGAUUCAGAGUACGUCAACGGACUCUCUGCCACCUUACCUAGCGUCUUACGCAAGAUGAAUGGAAACAGCUAUGUGUUACUGAGACAGACCGAUGGAGAUACCACGUCUCCGCUCUAUUACUCCUUCACGGAGGAGCUCAACAGGAUCCUGGAGAAGAGGAAGCACACGCAACUGUGUAGUAAACCUGAUGAGAGCUCGGUGUGAACCUUACCUACCCUGUGAAGAGGUUUUUCAACUGCUGGUGUCCUCUAAAGUGUUCAAGGGCAGUAUCAUUGUCUAAUAUCCCCUUUUCACCCAGACUAACUUUAAUGGGAUGCCAAUAAGUAGCCGCAACAGCAGCUUUUAUUGGAAGAUAAACAAAACAUUGGUGUUCCUCUAAAAGGACAAACUGCCUCUCCGUUUACAUUUCAAAUGUAGAGCUUUUGACUUUCAACAGACUGAGGAAUGCCCACUGGUUACAAAAUAGCAAAGAACGAACACAUGGAAAUUCUACCUCAGCAAAUUAUAUCACACAGCUCUCGGCUUAUUUCAGCGUGCUUGUGUUAAAAUUCGGGUUGGAUUUGGGGAUGUAUAGUUAGGGACACGCAGCAAGGGUAUCUUCAAAGCAAACGAGCCCAUCUGGGAGAAUCAAGUAAAUGAUUCCGUUACAGACUGGUUGGAAGAGACGUUUACAAGGCAGCAUUGUAAAAAAAGUUACAAGAUGAACUGAGAUGGAGGUUUGCGCUUGGACGAAGCAAGUCGUGUGAAAACUCUUAGUGCCGUCAAGCACUGAAUGUCUUUGCAUAUCUCCUUUAUUUUAGUAUUUCUAAUUUAUGCCAACACUGACCAUAUCAGUAACAGCUUGUAAUACUAAUCAUGAUUAAGAACAGCAGGGAUAUCAGACUUUAAAUACAAUGAGAAAUGCACUUGAUGGUACUAAUUGUGUAAAUAAGGCUUUUAUUAAUAGUUUCACAGGGGUGGGAACUAGGGAAGAUGACAGUAUUAACCACUGAGAUGCACUUUAUGGACCGGUAGCAUUUGUUUUUUCCAUGAGGUGCUGCUAAUUCUGACAGAUCUGGAGAGGAUGGAAUGGAUCACAAGGACGGGAAGAUUGCGAAUGAUUAUGAAAGUGACAAUACAAUAAAAUUGAAAAUGCUGCGAAAGGGAAGACUACAGUGUGUGGACAGAAUGAGUACCUGUAUAACCCUGAGAAAUGGACCACUGAACACGCUAAGUCGGGAUUUGUCUGAUUCGGAUCUGUAUGUUUCUUGCUUAUGCACAAGAACUGACAUGAUUCCUCAUUGGAUUCCUUCAUCAGAAUUCCAGAGCCAUUGGCUGCUAGGUUUCAAGGGCAACCACAAAGCAGAGAUGUCAAGAGAGCAGGACCAGCUUCUGUUUGAUGCACAGUCCCAAGAAGUGAAAUGAACAGAACAAGACAACAAGAACAUGACAUUAUCAGACAUUUCAGUCCUUACAAAACAAUAGAUCUCUUUGCCGCUUAAUCCAUAAAGCAUAAUGGAGUCACUGCUGAGGUAUAUGGGAGAAUUGUUAUUGAUCGAGUGUGUUAUUUUGUUGUUGUACCAUUUUAGCCAUUUUCAAUAUGAACUAAAUACUUAGUAAAUAAUUAAAGAGGUUUAUGCCCUGUAUAGAUGACCAGAAAAUACUUAUAUUGAGUUUAAUUUGUCCCUUUUCAGUCAUACAUACUUUCUUCCAGUACAUACAAUAUAAUUAAAAAAUGUGUCAAUGGAAAUAUUUAUUUUAUAGCUUUGUACAGUUUUGUGUGUAUUUAUUUCAUGUUUCAAACUAGGAUUUUCUAAAUUGUAGUUGGUUAAUGGUGCAUGGCUAUGCAUUUUUGCAAACAUUAUUUACAAUUUUUGAAAAAACAAAACAAACAACUAUAGAUAUAAUAAUAUAGAUGAUGCUGAUGAUAAUAAUAACAAUAUAAAUGAAAUACCCUAAUAAUUCUAAUAAAGCAUGUUAAAAUUCCUAUUAUUACAGUAUUUUCCAAAAUUGUAAAAUCUGUUUCCAGUUGUAUAUGUGCUAAAAUGUUACACAACAUUCCAAAUAAGAUUGUAUUCUUCCUAUUUCUUGUGUUUGGAAAAUAUUGUUAAAUCUCCUGCAGAGCAGACCAUGUCUCCGAGUCACUUCAGUACACAGUUGUAUGCCUCUUCAGUCGUGGGUAGGUUUGUGUGGGCUGCCUCUGGAACUGCAUUUAAUGAAGCUGGUUAGACCUAUGCCUGUCACCAUGGUGAAAAGACCAUAGAAUUAUUAUGGAUUUGCUUAGUGUUUAAUUCUUUACUGCUCUCUCCAUGCAAGAAACAUCUUGCCCCCCGUGUUUGUUCAGACAGUCAAAGCCCAAGGUAUACAUUUAAUGUGUAUAUCUUUCCCUUUGUCCAAGGGCAAAUUGUUAUGUUUUGUGUUUAAUUAACAGUAAUCCCACAGGGACAUGCUUGCAGGGGAGGAGGCUGAGAAGUGUGAAUCCAUUAUGUUCAACAUUGGAAACUUGUAAGUCUGACAUUUGAUUUGUUUACGUAGUAAAUUCUUUUAAUAAACAGUAUUAAAGUUUC